rnacentral:sRNA from 1 species
GCACCUUUGUGUCCUGGCUUUUUCAUUUUUUAAAAUUAGUUUUCACGAUUCUGAAGUAAGUGGUAUAAAAACAGUUAGGAUGAAUUCACCCAUGCCUGACUGCACAUCAAAGUGUCGAUCCCUGAAGCAUGCUUUGGAUGUCCUUUCUGUGGUAACAAAGGGGAGCGAAAACCAGAUUAAGGCCUUUCUCUCCAGUCAUUGUUACAAUGCUGCAACUAUCAAGGAUGUUUUUGGCAGGAAUGCCCUCCACCUUGUUUCCUCCUGUGGAAAGAAAGGAGUGUUAGAUUGGCUUAUUCAGAAAGGAGUGGAUCUGUUGGUGAAAGACAAAGAGUCUGGAUGGACAGCAUUGCACAGAAGCAUUUUUUAUGGACAUAUUGAUUGUGUUUGGUCUCUAUUGAAGCAUGGUGUUAGUCUGUAUAUUCAAGAUAAAGAAGGCUUGUCAGCUUUGGAUCUUGUAAUGAAGGAUAGACCAACUCAUGUAGUAUUCAAGAAUACUGAUCCUACAGAUGUUUAUACUUGGGGCGAUAAUACAAAUUUUACCCUGGGUCAUGGAAGCCAGAAUAGCAAACAUCAUCCAGAGUUGGUGGAUCUGUUCUCCAGGAGUGGGAUUUAUAUCAAGCAGGUGGUGCUUUGUAAAUUUCACUCCGUGUUUCUGUCUCAGAAAGGGCAGGUUUAUACCUGUGGUCAUGGUCCUGGAGGGCGAUUAGGACAUGGAGAUGAACAGACAUGCUUGGUCCCUCGGCUUGUGGAAGGACUGAAUGGUCAUAAUUGUUCCCAAGUGGCAGCUGCUAAGGAUCAUACUGUUGUAUUAACUGAAGAUGGAUGUGUUUAUACAUUUGGUCUAAACAUUUUUCAUCAAUUAGGAAUUAUUCCACCGCCUUCCAGUUGUAAUGUACCCAGACAGAUACAGGCAAAAUAUCUGAAAGGAAGGACAAUCAUUGGCAUUGCAGCAGGCAGGUUUCAUACAGUCCUAUGGACUAGAGAAGCUGUUUACACUAUGGGACUAAAUGGUGGACAACUGGGUUGUUUGCUAGAUCCCAAUGGAGAAAAGUGUGUAACUGCUCCUCGUCAGGUCUCUGCCCUUCACCAUAAAGACAUUGCUCUGUCUUUGGUUGCUGCAAGUGAUGGAGCUACAGUCUGUGUUACCACAAGGGGAGAUAUUUACUUACUUGCAGACUAUCAGUGCAAGAAGAUGGCUUCUAAACAAUUGAACUUGAAAAAAGUUCUUGUGUCUGGGGGUCAUAUGGAAUACAAGGUUGAUCCUGAACAUUUGGAAGAAAAUGGGGGUCAAAAAAUUUGCAUUCUGGCAAUGGAUGGAGCUGGAAGGGUGUUUUGCUGGAGAUCAGUCAACAGUUCUCUGAAGCAGUGUCGAUGGGCCUAUCCACGUCAGGUCUUCAUUUCUGAUAUUGCUUUAAAUAGAAAUGAAAUUCUAUUUGUUACGCAAGAUGGAGAAGGAUUUAGAGGGAGAUGGUUUGAAGAGAAAAGAAAGAGUUCUGAAAAGAAAGAGAUUUUAUCAAACCUUCACAAUUCCUCAUCAGAUGUGUCUUAUGUCUCUGAUAUAAAUAGUGUGUAUGAAAGAAUUCGACUUGAGAAACUUACCUUUGCACAUAGAGCUGUUAGUGUCAGCACAGAUCCAAGUGGAUGCAACUUUGCAAUCCUGCAGUCAGAUCCUAAAACAAGGUUAGAUGGAGUCAGAUUUGAAAAUGAAAAAAUUAAUGUUAUUGCCAAGAACACUGGUGAUAAACUGAAGCUAAGUCAGAAAAAAUGUUCAUUUCUGUGUGACGUGACCAUGAAAUCAGUGGAUGGAAAGGAAUUUCCUUGUCAUAAAUGUGUUCUUUGUGCUAGACUUGAAUAUUUUCAUAGUAUGCUGAGUAGCUCAUGGAUUGAGGCUUCCAGUUGUGCAGCUCUGGAAAUGCCAAUACAUUCUGAUAUAUUAAAAGUUAUUUUGGACUACCUCUAUACUGAUGAAGCUGUGGUGAUAAAAGAAUCUCAAAAUGUAGAUUUUAUUUGUAGUGUUCUUGUGGUGGCUGAUCAACUUCUCAUAACCCGGUUGAAAGAGAUUUGUGAAGUAGCAUUAACUGAAAAACUUACCCUGAAGAAUGCUGCUAUGCUACUGGAAUUUGCAGCAAUGUAUAGUGCAAAACAGUUGAAACUGUCUUGUUUACAGUUUAUAGGAUUGAAUAUGGCAGCUUUACUUGAAGCAAGGUCUCUUGAUGUUUUAAGCGAUGGUGUUUUGAAGGAUCUUUCUGAGUUUUACCGGAAAAUGAUUCCAGCAAUGGAUAGAAGAGUCAUUACACCAUAUCAAGAUGGACCAGAUAUUAGCUAUUUGGAAGUAGAAGAUGGAGAUAUCUUCUUGAAAGAAGAAAUAAAUAUGGAACAAAAUCAUUCGGAAACUAUGUUCAAGAAAGCAAAAACAAAAGCUAAAAAGAAGCCACGUAAACGUUCAGAUAGUUCUGGAGGUUAUAACCUUUCAGAUAUUAUUCAGAGUCCAUCAUCUACAGGAUUAUUAAAGUCUGGUAAGACCAAUUCUGUGGAAUCUCUUCCAGAACUGUUGACAUCAGACUCUGAAGGAAGCUAUGCAGGAGUGGGUAGUCCUAGAGAUUUACAGUCCCCUGAUUUUACAACAGGAUUUCAUUCAGAUAAGAUUGAGGCGAAAGUCAAACAAUAUGUUAAUGGUACAUCUCCUGUGUAUUCUAGGGAAGAUUUAAAACCAUGGGAAAAGUCACCAAUACUUAAAAUAUCUGCUCCACAGCCCAUUCCCAGUAACAGAAUUGAUACUACCAGCUCUGCCAGUUGGGUUGCUGGUUCUUUCAGUCCUGUCAGCCCUCCUGUUGUGGAUCUCAGAACUAUCAUGGAAAUAGAAGAAAGUAGACAAAAAUGUGGAGCUACACCAAAGUCACAUUUAGGGUGGGUUGAAAACAUUACAAAAGAUCAUUUCAUGUUGUAUUUCUGCCCUAAGAAUUGGACAGACUUACUGCAUCUUUCUUAUUAUUUUUCUGCAUUUGAUGUUAUAGUUAAUUAUACAUCCUUUUCUGGGCAAUUUAGCCUCCAUAAUAUUAUCUCUUAAAUAUGUGCUAAAGAUAGAGUUGAGUUGAUAAUCCAGCUCUUGUAGAAUACAGUAUUACAUCCCAGAAACUUGACUCUAAAAUGAUCAUUGUGGACUAUUGGCUACAAAAGCCAAAGAGUUAAGGCUUGUGAUGCAAGUUCUUUUUGAAAUUUGUGAUAUGUUGGAGGGCUCAUAUGUAGCUAUUACUUGAUCAUUGUUAGUAUAAACUGAUAUUUUCAUUGUUGAAACUUGUGAGCAUUUUGAUCCAAUAAUGGUAAAAUAACAUCAAAUAAAUAGAAAACAUUAUUAUUGCCAGUAACCUUUAUUAAGCAGAAAUUAAUGUUAAUUGAUAUAAUUUCUAGCAAGAUGAUUUCUCAUGGAAUUAAACUUUGUCAGAAGAAACCACUGAAACUAAUUGGUUUAAUUUCUAGCAAAACAGUUUCUCAUGGAGUUAAACUUUCUCAGAAGCAACGAAAAAUGAUUGCAUUGACUACCAAGGAAAACAAUUCAGGAAUGAAUAGCAUGGAAACAGUUUUAUCCACUCCUUCAAAAGCCCCCAAACCAGUGAAUGCAUGGGCAUCUUCUCUGCAUUCAGUUUCAUCCAAGUCAUUCCGGGAUUUCUUACUAGAAGAAAAAAAGUCUGUUACUAGCCAUAGUUCAGGCGAUCAUGUCAAAAAAGUUUCUUUUAAAGGAAUUGAAAAUUCUCAGGCACCAAAAAUUGUCAGAUGCUCUACCCAUGGUACCCCAGGACCAGAAGGCAACCAUAUUUCAGAUUUACCACUUCUAGACAGUCCCAAUCCCUGGCUAUCUUCUUCAGUGACUGCUCCAUCCAUGGUAGCCCCAGUCACUUUUGCAUCUAUUGUAGAAGAAGAACUACAACAAGAAGCAGCUCUUAUUAGAAGUCGAGAAAAACCGUUGGCUCUGAUUCAGAUUGAGGAGCAUGCCAUACAAGAUUUAUUGGUUUUCUAUGAGGCAUUUGGCAACCCUGAAGAGUUUGUCGUUGUUGAAAGGACACCGCAGGGACCACUGGCAGUACCUAUGUGGAAUAAGCAUGGAUGCUAGUUCACUGUGGAGUUGAGAUGCAUUUUUCAUAAUUAUGAGUUUGUUCAUAUAAAGAAAAGCUGUGGAAAAGAGUCUUAGAGAUUUUGUAAUAUCAUUCUAAAUAGAUUAAGAAAAGAUAUAAUUUCUUUACUGCAGUUAAAUCAUAUAAUGUUUGUAUGAUUAAAAAUAAAUUUCUCAGAAUUAUGAUUUUAGUAACUUUAUAUAAAAUGUGUGAGACAAAAACUUAUUAAGGUUAAAUAGAAUUGUUUCUUCUGAAUAAUCUAACAAAGGAAAAUAUAAGUGAUUGAAUCAUAAGAUGAUAUAAGGGGGGUGAAGUAUUAAAAAUAACUUUUUUGUUUGAUAACUUGAGAAUUUAGAAGAUUUUGCCAAGUAUGUGUUGUUGCUUGACUUCUUAAAUAUGGCAUUGAUGAAUUUAAAGUAGGAGCAUCAGUUAUUACUUCUGAUUCAUUAAUGGCCAGAAUUUUGUGUUUGGUGUAAUAGUUGUGUCACCAUUCUUGUUGCUUUUUAAAAAUCAGGCUAGGCAUGUGGUCCAUGUCUCUUCAAAGCUUGACCUGCACAAAUGCCAUAUUUCUAUUUGGACCACAUAUUCUCCAUUUUGCAUUGAGCAGUAGAGUACAGUGGAAAGGGAAUAAGAAUACUGAUUAUUCUGAACAGUUUAGUCCCAAGAGAAUAGCUUUAAAAAAAAAAAAAACAAAAAACAACAAGAUUUGGAAUCAUUGUGGGUUAUUUUUGGUGGGAUGGAGGAUCUUAAAAAUGCCUAGUUGUGAGAGAAUCAAUUGCUGAAAGUGUUAAAAUUUCUGAAAAUAAAUGCUUAAUUACAUAUACAGGAAUUAAAUAGUUUGGAAGAGGGCUGGAUUGUCAUUACCUUUACAAUACUGUAUAAUCAGAAGUUCUCUGAACCUCAAUUGUACAUCUAGACAUAAAAAUUGUUUUCUGUAUAGGAUGUUGUUUGGUUUGUUUCUGAGUGUUUAAAUUUUUCAAAAACAAAUGUUAAAUUUGUGCUUCAGUACCUAGAUAAAUUGGAAAGGUUAAUGUUCUAGUUUCUGGAAGGUAAGCCUGGGAGACACAUAAGCAAUUCACUGCUAUAAUUUAGUUGAUGUAAAAUGACGGAAACUGACUCAAUAUGUCAGGUUUAACUCUGCCCAAAAGCAGCAGACAUGUAAGCAGAUGUGCAAUAAAAAAUGAUCUUGAUCCAUUUCACUAAUGUGUGCUUGACAUUUUUUACUAUAUUGACAUUUAUUAUGGAAAGAGUUAAUAAUUAUUUUUUCUGAUGUGCUACACUAGUAGCCAGUAUAUGGUUAAGUUGAUGCUGUAUUUAUUCUAAGACAGAUUUAAAAAGGCAGUUUUCUAAAUAUGAACUUGUGAAUUUUUGUAUGUGUGUUUGAGUAAAUUGAGAAAUGAAUUUUAUAAAUGUUUUAUUGAUGUUGCAGUAAAGAAGCCUUUUGAAGUAAU